CCUACGGGAGGCAGCAGUGGGGGAUAUUGGACAAUGGGGGGAACCCUGAUCCAGCGACGCCGCGUGAGUGAAGAAGUAUUUCGGUAUGUAAAGCUCUGUCAGCAGGGAAGAAAGAAAUGACGGUACCUGACCAAGCAGCCCCGGCUAACUACUUGCCAGCAGCCGCGGGAAUACGUAGGGGGCAAGCGUUAUCCGGAAUUAAUGGGGGGAAAGGGAGCGUAGACGGUUAAGUAAGUCUGGAGUGAAAGGCCGGGGCCCAACCCCGGGACUGCUCUGGAUACUAUUGAACUUGAGUGCAGGAGAGGUGAGCAGAAUUCCUAGUGUAGCGGUGAAAUGCGUAGAUAUGAGGAGGAACACCAGUGGCGAAGGCGGCUUACUGGACUGUAACUGACGUUGAGGCUCGAAAGCGUGGGGAGCAAACAGGAUUAGAUACCCCUGUAGUC
rnacentral:rRNA from 1 species